UACGUAGGGGGCGAGCGUUAUCCGGAAUGAUUGGGCGUAAAGCGCGCGCAGGCGGCCGCUCAAGCGGGACCUCUAACCCCGGGGCUCAACCCCGGGCCGGGUCCCGAACUGGGCGGCUCGAGUGCGGUAGGGGAGAGCGGAAUUCCAAGUGUAGCGGUGAAAUGCGCAGAUAUUUGGAAGAACACCGAUGGCGAAGGCAGCUCUCUGGGCCGUCACUGACGCUGAGGCGCGAAAGCCGGGGGAGCGAACA
rnacentral:rRNA from 1 species